UCCGAAUUCGUCCAACGGUUAGGAUAUCUCGCUCUCACCGAGGAGAUCGGGGUUCGAUUCCCCGAUUCGGAG